AUGAAAACUGUCUUGCAUGUUGACUUUGCAGAGAAAGUCAGAAAUCACACCGAAGUACCACACUUACCAGAAGACCACCUAUUUGAGGUGGCUGUUGAAGUCAACUUCCUCGUGGCACCAGAGGAGAAUUGGGACCAUCUUGUGAGAUCACUGUUGAUCUCAGUGAAGUCUCUGGUUGAGUGCAGGAGUACUUUACAUCCUCUGGCUGUACAUUGGGGGUGGGCCAGAAGGGGUGAAGGUUCACAGGACCCUGCACCCGGCCCUGCAGGAGCUGUUAGAGGGUGGUUAGCCCCCGGGGCAGCUCAACACAGGGUGUCAUCGUCUCUGUAUCCACCGCUGGUAGGUCUCAGUUUCCUCCACCAAAAAUAUACAUCUGUAGCUUGUUCUUUUGCACUGUACUCUGCUCUUUACUCAUGGCACUAAAGGUUACUGCAGAGGUUUAAAAGAUAUUGUGUUGUAUAGAUAUAGUAUAGCCUGCGAUUAAGUGUCCUGAAUUUCAUUGUAUUUGUUUGACUUUUAAAUAAUUGAUUUGAAGGGAUUUAGUUUCAUAUUGAAUCACUCCAUUACUCAACCUUACUUUUGCACCCUGUGUGUGUCUGUCUCAGAUGUGAAUGAGUGUGUGACCCAGCUGGUGCUGUGUGACGUCAACGCAGAGUGUGUGAACCGCUUUGGUUCCUAUGCAUGCCCAUGCCACUCCGGGUUCGAGGACAUGUCUAGGCUGGGCUCAGGAGGAACCAUUUGCGUGGACACCAAGGCCGCUGGUGUGGACCGCCACAAUAAGUCUACGAUUACGGUAGAUCAGCAUAGUCCUGAGCAGCAGCACUGUAACACUGGUACCUCGUAGAAUUAUUGUUCUCUGAAGUAUGACAUUGGUUAGUUCAAAAUCAGUGGCACUGAAGUUGAAAAGUUAGACCACCACCCUAACAUUCCCUAACAUUUUAGGUAACCCUAACAGAAUGUUAAACAUAAAGUUGCAUGGUUAUGAAGGUGACUUUGCACUAAGUCAAUAAUCCUUGCCUAACCUUUGACCUUAGGCUGUACUUCGGAACAGUCCAGCGGGAUGAUCAAAGGCAUCUACGUGGUGUGCUUCCUGUUCAGCUUCCUCAUCCUGCUGCUCCUCUGUACUGUGGGCGUGCUGUACCAUCGCCACCACUGGGGGGCCUUCCUGGUCCACUGUCGGCGCAGCAGCCUCGGGAGCAUCCACCCUCCUGACUGCAAAAACCGUUCCAGCCGCACCAACUCGGAGUUGCCCCCACCCGUAUGGCGCCCUAAGGAUGGCUGGGCUCGCCCUAAGGACUGCUGCCCCUCGGUGGACCUGCCCUUGCUGCGCUUCAGCCCCCUGCUGCCUCUUGAUGGGUACAUGGAGCCAGGGGAGGGUGUCAAGCUUUGAGGAGAAGAUUGCUUUGUAGUUGUCCUGAAUGUGCAAUGAAAACAUUGACUCUAUUCUGGGCAGGUUGACUUCACUGUUUCAUGAGUUCAUUCUUUGCCUUUCCUCUCAUGAUGAAAUAACUUAUUACUGUAGUAUGACAUUAUCUUUGUGUGUAGUUUGGAUGUGCUAUAUGAUGUAUUCUUUUGAUCAUUGUUUCUAGUAUAUUUCAGUAAUUGUCAUUUUCCAUGAUUGGGAAGAUUGUCUAUGCUCUCCACACAAGGGGAUUCAUUGCAUCUUUCCUCCCAAAACAGCUUCACAUCGAUUAAAUAAAUGUUAACUUGGCUCUAAAUUCCUUUUAAUCUUUUUUAUAUUGAAAUGCGAAAGUACAAUUUCUGUGACAAAGUAGGCUACUUUGUUUCACAUGCAGCAGUUGGACUACAGGUAUACUGCUGUUUAGCAUUAAGGCUCAAAAUAAACUUAAUUUCUUUACUGGUGAGGGGACCAGGCUACAGAAAGCAGACCAUAAUAAAUAAAUAACCCAUGUCGUAGCGCACCUGUGCAAUAUUACGCCAUGUCGUGCUUUUCCCAGAAGGUGGCAGCGGCGUGAUAGGAAGUGUCUGGGGGAGAGAAAAAACUCAGUUUGCGACUGGGUUAAAUACAAAGUUUGUUUUCCUCUGUGGUUCUUAGACAUGUUUUCAAAAACAAGGGUAUUCUGAAAACGUAAAACGAAUACAGGAGCAAAGGCAAGCAAGCCCCCACCGCCGGAGAAUAGACGAGGAAACCGUAAAAAGGAGCCAUUGUGCCUCUGAAAGAUGCUGAAAUUCUACACGCCCGCCCACCUAAUCUCAGAAAUGUUAAUCCCCAGUCUCUGUAGGGGGGGAAAAAAUGUAGUGGUAGAUUGUAUUUUUGUCGUUUUGAAAUGGCACGGUGUCGAACUGUACCCUUUAAUUUGUUACACUGCCAAAAUGCUAUGCAAGGAAAUUGCAUAAUGAUAAAGGUCGCUGACUGAAUUUCAUUAGGCUGUAGAUUUACCUGCUCUGUUCAGAGGCCUAACCAGGUAAACGAGCCAAAUUAUUCAUAUUUCAGAAAUGACAUAGCAUACUGCCUGUAGGGGUAUUUCAAAUUGUGUAGCUAGGCCUACUAAAAUUCCUUGCAUGAUUCACCAAUGUCCAGAGUAAAAAAUAAAAGAGGCUUACCUUUCACUCAAAAGUGCUUUGAUUCUAAUUGGAGUGUAAAAGCAAUGCCACAUGCCUGGCUGAGAAGUUUGACAUCCUCCUUUACUCAUGAUAUCACUGCCCUAAUAAAGACAAACCAAUUACUACAAUAUGGCUGAUAAGAGAAAAGUGCUCUUUUGAAGGAAACAAAUCGCUAAUGCAUUUGAAUGGUAGAGAAGCUAACUCAAGUUACGGGUGGGCAGACAGGUCCCUAUCUGAAUUGUUGCUAUUGGAUGAGGAGCAGUUUGUAUCUUAUGCAGGCGGGAAGUACGUUUAACAGGCUAAUCUUUG
rnacentral:lncRNA from 13 species